rnacentral:tRNA from 2 species
GCGUUCAUAGCUCAGUUGGUUAUAGCACCACCUUGACAUGGUGGGGGUCGUUGGUUCGAGUCCAAUUGAACGCACCA